rnacentral:rRNA from 1 species
CCUACGGGUGACAGCAGUGAGGAAGAGUGGUCAAUGGGCGCGAGCCUGAACCAGCCAAGUAGCGUGAAGGAUGACUGCCCUACGGGUUGUAAACUUCUUUUAUAAAGGAAUAAAGUGAGGCACGUGUGCCUUUUUGUAUGUACUUUAUGAAUAAGGAUAGGCUAACUCCGUGCCAGCAGCCGCGGUAAUACGGAGGAUCCGAGUGUUAUCCGGAUUUAUUGGGUUUAAAGGGAGCGUAGAGGGGUUGUUAAGUCAGUUGGGAAAGUUUGCGGCUCAACCGUAAAAUUGCAAUUGAUACUGGCAGUCUUGAGUACAGUUGAGGUAGGCGGAAUUCGUGGUGUAGCGGU